AGACAGUUUUAUUCUUGCUGUUUUGUUCAGUUUGUCCUUGCUUUAUAUGUAAGUUUUUGCGUGAUUAUUCUUUUGCUCUUGAUGGGCUGGGGUAAAUAUUUUAUUUAUUCGCAUUAUUUAAUUUUAUAGAUUUUGGUUUCUUUGAUUUAGCAAUGGUUUAAGUGCCGGUUAAGUUUGUGCCAGCAGCCGCGGUUAUACAUUAGGUGCAAUUGAACAUUUUCGGUUGUGCAGUUUUAUUAUUUUAUUGUGAUUGGGUUUUAAUUGGGAUUAUUUUGUAUUUAGGUGAAAUUUUUAUUUUUAUUCAUUGCUCAUGGUUUGUUUUGCAGGCUGUUAAAUCUUUUUUGUAAACUAGGAUUAGAUACCCUAUUAUUUUUGAUGUUAAUGUAGUUUUCCUGGGUAGUAUUAGUUAUGUUCUUGAAACUCAAAGAAUUUGGCGGUAUCUUAUUCCUUUCAGAGGAAUCUGCCCCGUGAUCGAUAAUCCGCGUUGGACCUUACUUGGAAUUUGUUUGUAUACCGCCGUUAUAGUGAAGAUCUUUUUAGUGUUGUUAAUUUUCUGGUCUCUUUAUUGGGAUUUAUUUCAGGUCAAGGUGCAAUUUAUUUUUAAGUGUGAGGUGGAUUACAAUAUGUUGUUGAGUUUUGGAUUAUUGAUUGAAAGUUUGUUGAUAUGAAGUUGGAUUUGGUUGUAAUUUGUUGAAGAUUGUUUUAAUGAUGUUGGUUCUAGGAUAUGUACACAUCGCCCGUCGCUCUCAUUAUUUGUUGAGAUAAGUCGUAACAUAGUGGUCGUACCGGAAGGUGUGGCUGGAUUGAU
rnacentral:ncRNA from 1 species